GAUGGCCGCAAUCCUCACUCUCCCUCCCCCCACGAUCUGCUCCCCCAUCUCAACAAUCCCCGCCCCAUCGCCGUGCGUCUCGGCUGUCAUCUUCCCUACCGGAAGCAGCGGCUGGGGCAAGAUGGUGCGGUGGCUCACCUACCGGAAGCGACACAGCUACGCCACCAAAUCGAACCAGACCCGCGUCGUCAAGACACCUGGUAUGUGAAGUACCAUGACCUCCAUGGAGGCGAACAAGAAUCAAGGAAGUCAAAUUACGCUGAUUUGGCAUUGUUCUCAUUGCUGAAAUUGGAGGUAUGGCUGAGGAGGAUGUUGCAACAUUCAUCCAGGUAAGAGUUUGUUAGGGCCUUAGUUUGUAUGGAGUUUUUUCUGUAUUACAUGCUAUAUUGUUGUAUUGAUUCUACAUGUUGCAACACACAUCCCCUCAUGGUUUAGUGAAGUUCCAUGCAAGUUCUAUCUUGAGCACUCAAAAUUAUGACAUAUCUAUCUAUUUUGUAUGAUCUUUAUUGCGGUUCAAACAAGACGAGUAUUAAAAUUGAUGCUUCAUCAAUAUUUUCUUCUAGAGAAAAUUAAAUUAUAGUUGUAAGUGGUAUCAAUGGAUGGAAUACAAACUAAAGCUUUAGACAUUUUGAAAGCAAAUAGCACUUGAUGGUUCUGCAUACCAGUCAUCCAUAUAUAUAACCUAGGCAAGCUGGAAAGUGAAAUUAAACUGUAUGACAUAUGCUCAACCAUCUAUAGGCAAAGAUACAUAUAAAGAGUGUCGGCACUCAGUAGUCUUAUGUUACAUGUAUUCUUGCCUUAUGAGCAUAAACAUCGGGAAAUAGUUAAAACUUACUGCUACACCAAUUACUCAUGCCAGCAAAUGAAAAGAAAAUAAUAAGCAGGAGCAAAAUAGAGAACACUAUACUUGCUGCUCCUCACCAAAAGGGGAAAUAGCACCUUUGCUUGUUCGGCAUACAUGAGCUUAUGAGGGUGGCGAUCAGAUUUGCUUAUGGUUGGUGGCCUACUAGGAUGGCUGUAUGGCCAGUCACUAACUGGAAAGCUAAAGCGGACUCAAGCUUCUCCCAGGUAAGUUUAUGCUUCGCUUCUAGCGAUGCGUGUUUUUCUUCUUUGUCCUUAUACUUGGCCAGGCAUGACGAGAAGAGAUCAUCGUCCAUCUUAGACAACAUUUUCUUGACAUUUACCGUCAGAUUCAGGACUUUUGUACAAAAUUAAAAUGAUACUGCAUAGUACUAAUUAUGGAACCUAUAUGUAUGCCAAUUAAAAAAAGAUACUUUCCUACUAUGGUUCACACUUUUUUUUGUCUUGCUUGAGUUUUAUUGGAUGGAUACAUAGAGUAAGGAAAUGGAUAGUAUUUUGUGAAUUUUAAUUGGCAUACAUAUAGGUUCCAUAAAGACAGGUGAUUUUAGCUUGGAGAAAUAUUAUUGUUGGAAUGUGAGCCGCAUAUCUGACUUUAGAAGAGGAAACCAUUAUUCUUAGAAGUUAGUCUGUUCUUGAUCAGAAAUCACAAAAAAAUAUGCUUGUGUUGACAGCAACUCCUCCAGUCCCAAGAAAAAAAUGGGUGAACCACCAUAAUUCCUGACAGAUGUGAGUACACUUUCUUUACUGAGAAGGUUCCAUUACCCCUAAUGUAGGUCCAAGCAUCGUUAUUUUACUGUUCAAUGUAGAGAACUUAUUCUGCCAUUAAGCUCCUGGUAUGUUUUAGAG